GCAUGGCUGAAUACUGUAUCCUUUUUGCCAAUAUUUUUCACAGCCAGACACCAUUUAAAAGUAGUUUUCCCUUGAAAUGGCUCUCAAUGGUAUGCUGCUUUUCUAUGGCAUAUCAUUAUUAAAAGUGGCUACAAAU
ensembl:snoRNA